ACACGACUACAUUAGAUACCCCGGUAGUCCCAGCCCUAAACGAUGCGCGUUAGGUGUAUCGGUGACCACGAGUCACCGAGGUGCCGAAGGGAAACCGUGAAACGUGCCGCCUGGGAAGUACGGUCGCAAGGCUGAAACUUAAAGGAAUUGGCGGGGGAGCACCACAACGGGUGGAGCUUGCGGUUUAAUUGGAUUCAACGCCGGGAAGCUCACCGGAUAAGACAGCGGAAUGAUUGCCGGGCUGAAGACCCUGCAUGACCAGCUG
rnacentral:rRNA from 1 species